rnacentral:tRNA from 3 species
GCGGGUGUAGUUCAAAGGCAGAACAUCAGCUUCCCAAGCUGAGAAUGUGGGUUCGAUUCCCAUCACCCGCUCCA